AAGAGAUUAGUUUUAAAAAAAAUUUUAAUUUGUCAAAUUAAAGAUGUUAUAUUCAUCUCUUU
rnacentral:tRNA from 1 species